rnacentral:lncRNA from 7 species
CGCGCGUGCGCGCUUCUCUCUCGCGCAGCCAGUCGCCGCCUCCACCUGCUACCUUGGUCCCCAUGCUAGCCUGACGCAGUUGCCUCCUAUUCAUCUUCUUGAAAACUGCUUCCUCCAGAUCGAGCGUGCCCACGAUGCUCUAGAACCAGAAAAGCCCACGCAGCACAUUGCCUUCGCCGUCCCGCUCGUGUCGACGACUGCACUGCACCGGAACCUCCUAGGUCGCCGACGAGUCUCUGGCAUCCCUUUUCUUCUCCGGUGAUUCUCUCUGGUAUGUUUCUUUCGUAUUUACUAUUAAGUUUUGCAGUCGUCUUCUCCCUUGGAUCUCCUCUCCCCUUCUCUCUCCAUGCGCGCGUUGCAGCCUGGCAGCCG